rnacentral:rRNA from 1 species
GCAGUCCUCUCCAGUGUCUCUCCACAAAGUGGGCUUGGAAGCAGCCAUCUUUUAGCGAUAGCGUAACAGCUCAGUGGUCUGAGCUCCCUAUUAAGGGAAUAUAGCCUGGUGAGGGCACCAAGAAUGUAACGGGUCUAUAGUAGUUGUCUCUCUAAAUGGAGAGAGUGGCAGUUGAUACAGGUGCAGAGCUCCUUUACUGCUUCACCGAAACCCUGUCCUAGAUAAUUCUAGGGGUAGCAGAAUAUCCAGCAAAUGGAAGGAAGCUUACUCAUUGAGUAAGUGGACAUAGCUGGACUAAAAAUGCUGACAUGAGUAGCCUAAAAGGAGGUAAAUUUCCUCUUCGCCGAAAGCUGAAGGGUUUCAUUAGUGAGGUCUAUACCUAGAUGAUUAAAGUAACGGCCUCUAAGGCAGGGUGAUAAAUCAACUCAGAAGGGAAAACCUUCAUAUGCCGAUGAGUAAUUCUUCUGUAGGAAAGUAACCUUCCUUAUAAGUUUACCUUAUUUUUAGAGGUAUACUUUAAGGAGUAAGGUUCAGGAAAGAGUCUUACGGAGACUUAAUUUUCUAAAGAUUAGGUUAAUCAACCGUACCCUAAACCGACACAGGUCUGCAAGUAGAGCAUACUAAGGCGUUGAGAUAAUCGUCUUGAAGGAACUCGGCAAAAUAGCCCCGUAACUUCGGGAGAAGGGGUACCAUUUAUUAUGGUGGCACUAAAUAGGGGGGCGCGACUGUUUACUUAAAACACCGGACUCUGCUAACACUGAGGUGGAUGUAUAGAGUCUGAUACGG